UGAGGAAUUUUCCGCAAUGGGCGAAAGCCUGACGGAGCAAUACCGCGUGAGGGAUGAAGGAUUUUGGUCUGUAAACCUCUUUUCUCAAGAAAGAAGUUCUGACGGUACUUGAGGAAUAAGCACCGGCUAACUCCGUGCCAGCAGCCGCGGUAAUACGGGGGGUGCAAGCGUUAUCCGGAUUUAUUGGGCGUAAAGCGCCUGUAGGUUGUUUAAUAAGUCUGUUGUUAAAGACUAGGGCUUAACUCUAGGAAAGCAAUGGAAACCACUAGACUUGAGUAUAAUAGGGGUAGAGGGAAUUUCUAGUGUAGCGGUGAAAUGCGUAGAUAUUAGAAAGAACACCGGUGGCGAAGGCGCUCUACUGGAUCAUUACUGACACUCAGAGGCGAAAGCUAGGGUAGCAAAAGGGAUUAGAUACCCCUGUAGUCCUAGCCGUAAACGAUGGAUACU
rnacentral:rRNA from 1 species